rnacentral:lncRNA from 1 species
GUUAAUUCUAUUUAUUCAUCUGUGCGCUUACGUGUGUGGUCUGGUGGAGAACUAUCAGAGGCUUUUGACAAUCAUAUUGGUGUAAAACAAGGCGAGCCCUUAUCUCCGUUACUUUUCUUAUUUUUUAUAAAUGACAUUAUUCAAGAUAUCUCCACCGAUGUAAACGAAGAUGUCAUAUCUUUGAAUGGAAUCCUUAUAUAUCUAAUACUUUU